UUUCCUAGUCUACCACUCUGAAUGUGCUCUGAUCUAAUUAGAUCUCAGAAAUUAAGCAGGGUCUGGCCAAUUUAGCUGUUAGAGGGGAAAUUCUUUGGGCAUAGUUGAUACUAUGAGCU
rnacentral:rRNA from 1 species